rnacentral:tRNA from 1 species
AAGACCUUAAGUUAAUCAAACUAAUAACCUUCAAAGUUAAAAUUAAAAGUUACCUUUUAGGUCUUAG